rnacentral:rRNA from 1 species
UACGUAGGGCGCAAGCGUUGUCCGGAAUUAUUGGGCGUAAAGGGCUCGUAGGCGGUUUGUCGCGUCGGGAGUGAAAACUCAGGGCUUAACCCUGAGCCUGCUUCCGAUACGGGCAGACUAGAGGUAUGCAGGGGAGAACGGAAUUCCUGGUGUAGCGGUGAAAUGCGCAGAUAUCAGGAGGAACACCGGUGGCGAAGGCGGUUCUCCGUGGUCAUGACCUGACGCUGAGGAAGCGAAAGGUGUGGG